rnacentral:rRNA from 1 species
UACGUAGGGUGCAAGCGUUAAUCGGAAUUACUGGGCGUAAAGCGUGCGCAGGCGGUUUUGUAUGUCUGUCGUGAAAGCCCCGGGCUCAACCUGGGAAUUGCGAUGGAGACUGCAAGGCUUGAAUCUGGCAGAGGGGGGUAGAAUUCCACGUGUAGCAGUGAAAUGCGUAGAGAUGAGGAGGAACACCGAUGGCGAAGGCAGCCCCCUGGGUCAAGAUUGACGCUCAUGCACGAAAGCGUGGGGAGCAAACAGG